rnacentral:rRNA from 1 species
CGGACGGGUGAGUAAUGUCUGGGAAACUGCCCGAUGGAGGGGGAUAACUACUGGAAACGGUAGCUAAUACCGCAUAACGUCGCAAGACCAAAGAGGGGGACCUUAGGGCCUCUUGCCAUCGGAUGUGCCCAGAUGGGACUAGCUAGUAGGUGGGGUAAUGGCUCACCUAGGCGACGAUCCCUAGCUGGUCUGAGAGGAUGACCAGCCACACUGGAACUGAGACACGGUCCAG